rnacentral:lncRNA from 1 species
UUCUAUGGUACCUCCAUGAUAUACGCUCACUAUGUUAUCCAUCUAGAUUCAUUUAGUCCAUAAUAAAUGAAGCAUUCUAAGUAUAAGGUCUCAAGUAUGAAAUGAGAUACUAUCAAUUCACUACUAACUAUUAAAUACUACUAACUAACUAUGUCACCUAAUAUGGAACUAUGUACCUAAGUAUAUAACUACUUAACUAAAUAUCGUAAUAACUAUAUUACUAUGUAACUAACUAUAUAUCUAGACAAAAUUACGUACGAAGAAAAUUCUAUCUAACUAUGUAUUUCUCUAUCUAACAAUUCUAUCUUCUUAUCUAUUUAUCUAUCUAUAAGCACAUCCACCUAGUUAAAUAGUGUCAUGAGUAUUCUCUAUUCCUUCUAUCGUUGCAAUUCAUACACAAAACCUACCAAAUUAAAUUAGUUUUCAUAUCUAACAAUUCUAUCUAACUAUCAAUUUAUCUAUCUAACUAUUUUAUCUAAUAAUUCUACCUACC